AAAAUCCUAAAACCUCAUCAAAACACCAAAUAAAUGGCCAUGAGAUUUAUCAUAGGUCAAACAAGUUCAAAGGACCUUGGAGAAAAAAUUUCAGAAUUUUUAAAGACUUAAAAGUAUUUUUAAACAAUAAAAAAAAUACAAAAUCAAUUAAAUCAUUAAAAAUAUUAAUAAUGAUCCAAAAAAUAAUUUUAAUUCAGAAUAUGAAAGAGGAAAUUUUUUAAAUUUUU
rnacentral:lncRNA from 1 species